GGCCUUGACAUACUAAGAACUUUCCAGAGAUGGAUUGGUCGCCUUCGGGAACUUAGAUACAGGUGCUGCAUGGCUGUCGUCAGCUCGUGUCGUGAGAUGUUGGGUUAAGUCCCGCAACGAGCGCAACCCUUUUCCUUAUUUGCCAGCGGGUCAUGCCGGGAACUUUAAGGAUACUGCCAGUGACAAACUGGAGGAAGGCGGGGACGACGUCAAGUCAUCAUGGCCCUUACGGCCAGGGCUACACACGUGCUACAAUGGUCGGUACAAAGGGUUGCUACCUCGCGAGAGGAUGCUAAUCUCAAAAAGCCGAUCGUAGUCCGGAUCGCAGUCUGCAACUCGACUGCGUGAAGUCGGAAUCGCUAGUAAUCGCGGAUCAGAAUGCCGCGGUGAAUACGUUCCCGGGCCUUGUACACACCGCCCGUCACACCAUGGGAGUUUGUUGCACCAGAAGUAGGUAGUCUAACCGCAAGGAGGACGCUUACCACGGUGUGGCCGAUGACUGGGGUGAAGUCGUAACAAGGUAAGCGUAGAUGA
rnacentral:rRNA from 1 species